GGACUACUAGGGUAUCUAAUCCUGUUCGCUCCCCACGCUUUCGCUCCUCAGCGUCAGUACCGGCCCAGAGUGCCGCCUUCGCUACGGGCGUUCCUCCCGAUCUCUGCGCAUUUCACCGCUACACCGGGAAUUCCACACUCCCCUACCGGACUCUAGUCAUGGCAGUACCGGAUGGCGCCUCCACGUUGAGCGUGGAGAUUUCACAUCCGACUUACCAAACCGCCUACGAGCUCUUUACGCCCAAUAAGUCCGGACAACGCUCGCCCCCUACGUAUUACCGCGGCUGCUGGCAC
rnacentral:rRNA from 1 species